GUUGGGUAGGGGAGCGUUCUGUAAGCCUGUGAAGGUGUGUCGUGAGGCAUGCUGGAGGUAUCAGAAGUGCGAAUGCUGACAUAAGUAACGAUAAAGCGGGUGAAAAGCCCGCUCGCCGGAAGACCAAGGGUUCCUGUCCAACGUUAAUCGGGGCAGGGUGAGUCGACCCCUAAGGCGAGGCCGAAAGGCGUAGUCGAUGGGAAACGGGUUAAUAUUCCCGUACUUGGUGUUACUGCGAAGGGGGGACGGAGAAGGCUAUGUUGGCCGGGCGACGGUUGUCCCGGUUUAAGCGUGUAGGUGUGUGUUCCAGGUAAAUCCGGUUCACUUUAACACUGAGGCGUGACGACGAGGCACUACGGUGCUGAAGCAACAAAUGCCCUGCUUCCAGGAAAAGCCUCUAAGCAUCAGGUAACACGAAAUCGUACCCCAAACCGACACAGGUGGUCAGGUAGAGAAUACCAAGGCGCUUGAGAGAACUCGGGUGAAGGAACUAGGCAAAAUGGUGCCGUAACUUCGGGAGAAGGCACGCUGACACGUAGGUGAAGUGAUUUACUCAUGGAGCUGAAGUCAGUCGAAGAUACCAGCUGGCUGCAACUGUUUAUUAAAAACACAGCACUGUGCAAACACGAAAGUGGACGUAUACGGUGUGACGCCUGCCCGGUGCCGGAAGGUUAAUUGAUGGGGUCAGCGCAAGCGAAGCUCCUGAUCGAAGCCCCGGUAAACGGCGGCCGUAACUAUAACGGUCCUAAGGUAGCGAAAUUCCUUGUCGGGUAAGUUCCGACCUGCACGAAUGGCGUAAUGAUGGCCAGGCUGUCUCCACCCGAGACUCAGUGAAAUUGAACUCGCUGUGAAGAUGCAGUGUACCCGCGGCAAGACGGAAAGACCCCGUGAACCUUUACUAUAGCUUGACACUGAACAUUGAGCCUUGAUGUGUAGGAUAGGUGGGAGGCUUUGAAG
rnacentral:rRNA from 1 species